GGUUACGGGUCAAAUUUUAUCGGUCGUGCCAAUGGUAUGAACUGGUACAAUUGGUUUCUCCCUUCUGACGAAGCAUGAUGUCAUUAAUUUGGUGUCGUGGGGAAUCAGGACUGUUACUUUGAAAAAUUAGAGUGUUUAAAGCAAGCAUUAGCUUGAAUACAUUAGCAUGGAAUAAUGAAAUAGGACGUUUGAUCUAUUUCGUUGGUUUCUAGGAUCGACGUAAUGAUUAAUAGGGAUAGUUGGGGGCAUUAGUAUUCAAUUGUCAGAGGUGAAAUUCUUGGAUUUAUUGAAGACUAACUACUGCGAAAGCAUUUGCCAAGGAUGUUUUCAUUAAUCAAGAACGAAAGUUAGGGGAUCGAAGACGAUCAGAUACCGUCGUAGUCUUAACCAUAAACUAUGCCGACUAGGGAUCGGAUGAUGUUAAUUUUUAAUGACUC
rnacentral:rRNA from 1 species